UUUUUUGGAGGUCAAAUUUUCUGUGAUGAAUCUUGGCACUCACUCAAGCUUCAAUGAAAUUAGAUUAAGAUGUUUUGCUUGUUGGAAUUUGGCAUUUUGUUUUCAAAUGUUUGGCUUGCUUACUAUGAGACUGCUCAUUUGUCAAAGAGUUGUGAAUUGAAAGCCACAAAACUCUAUAACAGUAAGUAACGGUUCCAAGCAACAUUAAAUUUCCAUGUAGUUGUGAUUGAGGGUCAAGCUCUAGAAUAGGCAUUGCUGAGUUGAACCAUGGGAAAGUGAAUGCUCAAUAGAUUUAAUUGGUGUACAAACAAUAGGUUCCGUUGAUAUCAAGGUUCAGCAUAUGCAGAUUCAACAUACCCCAAUUCAACAAAUAUGCCAAUUCAACAAUGCAUAAUGGUUUAUCUAUAUCUUUAUCUCAAGAACUACAAUCACAAUAUUUGUCCUUCUUGUUGGAUGAAUUAUUGAUCAUGUUGCUUGUUGGAUGGUUUUAAACUUCUUUGAUACUCACUAUGGAUGAUUGUAAUUAUAACUUUAGAUGUGUUGUGUCUAUAUUAAUAGUGUUGUUAUAAUGCUAAAUGUUAAGAUAAUUAGACAUGUGAUUGAUAAUAUAUUUAUUAAUAGUCUUGAGCUUGAUAUAUGGAUUUGAUUUUAUAUAAUGAUAUCCUAUAUUCAAUGA